rnacentral:lncRNA from 1 species
GACCCCAGUUCCCUCAGCCACUCCUCAUAGGACUUGUGUUCCAGGCCCUUCACCAGCUUCGUAGCCCUUCUCUGGACACGUUCCAGGGCCUCGAUGUCCUUCUUGUAGUGAGAAGCCCAAAACUGACCACAGUACUCGAGGUGCGGCCUCACCAGAGCAGAGUACAGGGGAACAAUCACCUCCCUGGUCCUGUUUGCGACACUAUUCCUGGUACAAGCCAGGAUGCCAUUAGCCUUUUUGGCCACCUGAGCACACUGCUAGCUCAUGUUCAGGGGAGCAUCAAUCAGCAUUACAAUGGGAUGUGGGACUGCAGUACCCAAACUUCUCUGGAAAUCCUGGGACACGUCAGCUUGAUGUACUACAGGUGACAGAGCAGACAGCCUGCCAGCAAUCAAACAGAUGUUUCCUUCACAUUACUGUUUCUUGCAAUAAGCUGUGAUUGAUGAACAACCAUGCAACUGUGAAGAGUCUCACAUUUACUUAAGAUUAGUAUAUUUCAUCGUAGGAUAGAUGUAUAGACUUAAUACUCUUACACCCUGUUCCAAAAAGUACCAUUCAUAAGAAAAGCAAAGUUUAGCUUCUUUCUUUUUAGCUGGAUGAAGAUUUCUGCAUCAGGAAUUCUCACCUCCAAGGGAUGUAUGAACUAACAGUUCAAUACUACACAUAUUUCUCCAGAAAACACAAAGAGAAACAAGGGGCAUACCAUUUUUUUAAUUUUUUUUAAGCAGAAUCAGAAAUUUUAUGGAAGUCAGUUCUGGCUAAAAGUUCACAUGUGGACAGCGAUUCUCAGCAGUCAUUUUAAGUCCUCUUUGACUUGCAUUAUGGAAUGAACACUGCAUGUUAGCAGCUUGAAACUCUUGCAUGUGAUUCAUGUAAAUGAGACAUACAUCUUACAUUUUAUGAGAUGCUACAUUUUAUGAAAUAUGCCAGUGUGCGUGGAGUAAAUUUUAAAGAACUAUCUUCCAGGGCAGAUAGCUUUGCACUGCAUGUCAUUGGCUCUUCUUUGUACUGGAUACAAUGAUGUUAAUGACAUCAUCACAGGUGUGCUAAAUCAGGAGUGUGUCAUCUCAGAAGUUUUUUAAAAAAACAUCUUCUCAAAGGAACAGUACAUUCCAAAUAUGCCAAACAAG